rnacentral:rRNA from 1 species
UACAGAGGUCCCAAGCGUUGUUCGGAUUUACUGGGCGUAAAGGGUGCGUAGGUGGUCGGGUAAGUCUCAUGUGAAAUCCCGCAGCUUAACUGCGGAACGGCAUGGGAUACUAUUCGGCUCGAGGAUUGGAGGGGGGACGUGGAAUUCCCGGUGUAGCAGUGAAAUGCGUAGAUAUUGGGAAGAACACCAGUGGCGAAGGCGGCUCACUGGCCCGUAACUGACGCUGAGGUGCGAAAGCGUGGGGAGCAAACAGG